UUUAAUUGAAGAGUUUGAUCAUGGCUCAGAUUGAACGCUGGCGGCAGGCCUAACACAUGCAAGUCGAGCGGUAACAGAAAGUAGCUUGCUACUUUGCUGACGAGCGGCGGACGGGUGAGUAAUGCUUGGGAACAUGCCUUGAGGUGGGGGACAACAGUUGGAAACGACUG
rnacentral:rRNA from 1 species